rnacentral:tRNA from 1 species
CAGGGAGACAACAAAAUGUUUAAUAUUAUUUUGUCACCUUAGGUCGAUCGGUAUCUCACGUUCUUAAUUAAUUAAGAAUUUCAUUCCCUAAGUUUUUCUAGGUCACACCCAUUAUUUUCCCUGGGCCAUUAGCUCAGGUGGUUAGAGCGCACCCCUGAUAAGGGUGAGGUCCCUGGUUCAAGUCCAGGAUGGCCCAUAUCUCUAUGUUGGGGGUAUAGCUCAGUUGGUAGAGCGCCUGCUUUGCAAGCAGGAUGUCAGCGGUUCGAGUCCGCUUACCUCCACUGAUUACCACCUCUGCCAUAAUUUUUAAAGGGAUUAUUUUGAGUAGUGAUCAAAUUCUGAACGAAUCUAGCUUCCUAAUGAAAUCAUUAAGAUGCUGGACUCAUUGAAUUAAUUUCAUUGUUUUCAGAGAACCUUGACAACUGCAUAGAUUAUUUUUAAAGACAAUAAGCAUCUUUAAUGAUGCAGAUUUAUUAUUUGUGCAAAUGCAUUAAUAACAAUUCUAUUAAGCUGAUGCUUCAAUUUUGAAGUUAUUGGUCAA